GGACAUUAAGGCAAAAAAAAAGUUCACGGGAUCACGGCUUUGUACUAUGAAAUACCGAAAGUAGCCCUCCCGUGUCCAGUCCCGUGCAUGAAGGAUUUUACCUAUUAAUGACAGACGGAGAUGAAGUUGCUGGGACUGGGAGCUUGUGCUAUUCUACAGCUUUCUCGGAAAGUGCGAGAAAGAGAGGCAGGAAUUUUGCUGCUCUGCAUAAUCUAUGCAACCGUGGAUCGAGCUCAACGCUUCGAUUUCAAAAUU
rnacentral:misc_RNA from 1 species